UACGUAGGGUGCGAGCGUUGUCCGGAAUUACUGGGCGUAAAGAGCGUGUAGGCGGUGUUCUAAGUUUGUCGUGAAAUCUCCCGGCUUAACUGGGAGGGUGCGGCGAAAACUGGAAUGCUAGAGGAUGGGAGAGGUAAGCGGAAUUCCUGGUGUAGCGGUGAAAUGCGUAGAUAUCAGGAGGAACACCUGUGGUGUAGACAGCUUACUGGACCAUUUCUGACGCUGAGACACGAAAGCGUGGGUAGCAAACAGG
rnacentral:rRNA from 1 species